CAGUAGCCACGGUAACACGGAGGGUGCAAGCGUUAAUCGGAAUUACUGGGCGUAAAGCGCACGCAGGCGGUCUGACAAGUCAGAUGUGAAAUCCCCGGGCUUAACCUGGGAACUGCAUUUGAAACUGUCAGGCUGGAGUCUUGUAGAGGGGGGUGGAAUUCCAGGUGUAGCGGUGAAAUGCGUAGAGAUCUGGAGGAAUACCGGUGGCGAAGGCGGCCCCCUGGACAAAGACUGACGCUCAGGUGCGAAAGCGUGGGGAGCAAACAGGAUUAGAUACCCCAGUAGUCCCUGUCUCUUAUAA
rnacentral:rRNA from 1 species